rnacentral:tRNA from 1 species
GCCGAAAUAGCUCAGUUGGGAGAGCAUUAGACUGAAGAUCUAAAGGCCCUGGGUUUCGGCA